AUUGAACGCUAGCGGCAUGCUUAACACAUGCAAGUCGAACGAGUGGCGGACGGGUGAGUAAUAUAUCGGAACGUGCCCCGUAGCGGGGGAUAACUACUCGAAAGAGUGGCUAAUACCGCAUACCAGUGGCGGGGCCGAGAUUGGAUUAGCUAGUUGGUGGGGUAAAGGCUCACCAAGGCAACGAUCCCUAGCUGGUUUGAGAGGAUGACCAGCCACACUGGGACUGAGACACGGCCCAGACUCCUACGGGAGGCAGCAGUGGGGAAGUUUGGACAAUGGAGGAAACCCUGAUCCAGCCAUCCCGCGUGUAUGAGAAGGCCUUCGGGUUGUAAAGUACUUUUGGCGGAGAAGCGGUAUCUGAAGAAUAAGCACCGGCUAACUACGUGCCAGCAGCCGCGGUAAUAC
rnacentral:rRNA from 1 species